rnacentral:rRNA from 1 species
UUUGACCUCGGAUCAGGUAGGGAUACCCGCUGAACUUAAGCAUAUCAAUAAGCCCGGAGGAAAAACCC